rnacentral:lncRNA from 1 species
AAUUACACCUUCAUUUAAUGGGGCAGCUAUUGGGAAGGGCUUGCUUGUACUAUGGGGCAAGUCAAUUUCAGAUGGAGCGCUGGAGUCUAAUCCUGAUUCAAAACCAGUGGGGCUUGGUGUAUCAUCCUAACUAUGCUUUUAAAAUAUCAGUGUUAGAUGCUUUUCAGUGCAUAGGCACAGAGUUGUGUUCUAAUCAGAAGAAAUUUCAAGCAAUUCGAAGUUCUUAGUACUAAAAAUAUGAAGCUUUGGUCUCUACCAUGAGGCAAAGACAUUUUAUAUGUAACAAGGAAAGGGAGAGAGCUAGAACAGGUGAUGAUGGCUUGGCUUCUUUACAAGAUAGCUUGAAAAUACUGCAGCUGGAUCCUUUUUCAGGCAUGAACAGGGAGGGAGGGGAAUUCCCAAUUAUCUUUCAUGUAGAAUGUGUCAAAUAAAGAGGAGGUAAGAGAUUGUACAGUAGAGUCUCACUUAUCCAAGCCUUGCUUAUCCAAGCCUCUGGAUAAUCCAAGCCAUUUUUGUAGUCAAUGUUUUCAAUGUAUCAUGAUAUUUUGGUGCUAAAUUCAUAAAUACAGUAAUUACAACAUAAAUUCUCCCACUUGUGUCUUUAACCCCCCUUCCUGCAGCGACGCCAAAAUGCUGUGUUGCCAGCCACGCCCCCAUUGUUGGAAACGGAGGAGAAAGGCGGCUGAAUUUACUGGGGAAGAACUUUCCAACCUCAUUUAUCUAUCUGAGACGUGCCUAGAUUUCAAUGGGGAUUACGUGAGAUGUAGUAUUGGGAUGUGGCUUUCAGCUGCAUAUGUCACUCAGAACUACAUUCAAGAGUACUUAAGGGACAUGCACAUGUAAUCUCAGAAUGACUGCCAAUAAUCUUUCAAAAUUUGUGAAGAACAGCACACUCCCACCGGGUUGCAGAAGGACAAAUAUUCUUCUCAUCUUCAAAAACAGAAAAAAGACAUACAGUAAAAUCUCAAUAGCACAAUGAAAAAUGAGGGAAAUUCCUAACAUUGAGUUAAAAAACAACAACUAGACCUAUAUUUAGAGGGCAAGAAUGUUACAAAUAUCUGCAACUAAAAUUAUACCGUGUUUUACUCGAAGUGUUUAAUGCCAGUGCUAAUGCUUUUUUGCUUUUGCUUUUGGGUGUGUUUCUUUGCCAAGUACUUUUGCAUUUUUAUAUCGCCAUUUGUUCAGAUUUAUUUAUUUUAUUUUUUAUAUAAAUAUGGACACUUUAGCUUUGUUUUUGGUUUUUUGGUUUUUUUCCCCCUCUCUCUCCCUUUUUGAUCCUUUUUUAAUUGCAGUCUUCCUACUUUCUAUACAAUCAAAUGUUCUCACUCUUUUGAUGUGAAUUUACUCUAUCUUAUAAGGUAAAACUUCAAUAAAAUAUAUAUUUUAAAAUUUUAAAAUUAUAUUGUUAUGCUCUCGGUUGUCCAUUCUACAAUAUUCAAUAUUAGUCAAAAAGAUUGCAUACAUAUUACAGUGAGAUUCAGGGGGCCCUUUGGCAGGAUCUCCAUUUCUCCUAGAUAAUAUAAAAUAUUAAAUCAAAGUUCCCAAAGCUGUCUAUUCUAUUUCAAAUAAUGUCUUAAUUGCUGUAGCAGCAUCCCUAACACAGUGAGCAAACUCCUCUCUAUGAACAAAUAUUGAAUUGGCUCUCA